rnacentral:rRNA from 1 species
GAACGCUAGCUACAGGCUUAACACAUGCAAGUCGAGGGGCAGCAUGGUCUUAGCUUGCUAAGGCCGAUGGCGACCGGCGCACGGGUGGGUAACACGUAUCCAACCUGCCGUCUACUCUUGGACAGCCUUCUGAAAGGAAGAUUAAUACAAGAUGGCAUCAUGAGUCCGCAUGUUCACAUGAUUAAAGGUAUUCCGGUAGACGAUGGGGAUGCGUUCCAUUAGAUAGUAGGCGGGGUAACGGCCCACCUAGUCUUCGAUGGAUAGGGGUUCUGAGAGGAAGGUCCCCCACAUUGGAACUGAGACACGGUCCAAACUCCUACGGGAGGCAGCAGUGAGGAAUAUUGGUCAAUGGGCGAGAGCCUGAACCAGCCAAGUAGCGUGAAGGAUGACUGCCCUAUGGGUUGUAAACUUCUUUUAUAAAGGAAUAAAGUCGGGUAUGGAUACCCGUUUGCAUGUACUUUAUGAAUAAGGAUCGGCUAACUCCGUGCCAGCAGCCGCGGUAAUACGGAGGAUCCGAGCGUUAUCCGGAUUUAUUGGGUUUAAAGGGAGCGUAGAUGGAUGUUUAAGUCAGUUGUGAAAGUUUGCGGCUCAACCGUAAAAUUGCAGUUGAUACUGGAUAUCUUGAGUGCAGUUGAGGCAGGCGGAAUUCGUGGUGUAGCGGUGAAAUGCUUAGAUAUCACGAAGAACUCCGAUUGCGAAGGCAGCCUGCUAAGCUGCAACUGACAUUGAGGCUCGAAAGUGUGGAUAUCAAACAGGAUUAGAUACCCUGGUAGUCCACACGGUAAACGAUGAAUACUCGCUGUUUGCGAUAUACAGCAAGCGGCCAAGCGAAAGCGUUAAGUAUUCCACCUGGGGAGUACGCCGGCAACGGUGAAACUCAAAGGAAUUGACGGGGGCCCGCACAAGCGGAGGAACAUGUGGUUUAAUUAGAUGAUACGCGAGGAACCUUACCCGGGCUUAAAUUGCAGAUGAAUUGCGGUGAAAGCUGUAAGCCGCAAGGCAUCUGUGAAGGUGCUGCAUGGUUGUCGUCAGCUCGUGCCGUGAGGUGUCGGCUUAAGUGCCAUAACGAGCGCAACCCUUGUUGUCAGUUACUAACAGGUUCCGCUGAGGACUCUGACAAGACUGCCAUCGUAAGAUGUGAGGAAGGUGGGGAUGACGUCAAAUCAGCACGGCCCUUACGUCCGGGGCUACACACGUGUUACAAUGGGGGGUACAGAGGGCCGCUACCACGCGAGUGGAUGCCAAUCCCCAAAACCUCUCUCAGUUCGGACUGGAGUCUGCAACCCGACUUCACGAAGCUGGAUUCGCUAGUAAUCGCGCAUCAGCCACGGCGCGGUGAAUACGUUCCCGGGCCUUGUACACACCGCCCGUCAAGCCAUGGGAGCCGGGGGUACCUGAAGUGCGUAACCGCGAGGAGCGCCCUAGGGUAAAACUGGUG